UCUCGAUGGUAGUGUAUUGGACUACCAUGGCAGUAACGGGUAACGAAGAAUUAGGGUUCGAUUUCGGAGAGGGAGCAUGAGAAACGGCUACCACAUCUAAGGAAGGCAGCAGGCGCGUAAAUUACCCAAUCCUGACUCAGGGAGGUAGUGACAAGAAAUAGCAAACCGGGAGCCUCACGGUUUCACGGUAUUGCAAUGAGAACAAUUUAAAACACUUAGCGAGGAACAAGUGGAGGACAAGUCUGGUGCCAGCACCCGCGGUAAUUCCAGCUCCACUAGCGUAUAUUAAAGUUGUUGCAGUUAAAAAGCUCGUAGUUGAACUUCUGUAUGGGGCUAGUUUGGACUUCGGUCUGGCUAGUUCCAUGCAUCCGCUUGCAAGACUUAGAGGGCAUUCAUUUGUCGCUAAGAGGAGCAGGCUGUUUACUUUGAAAAAAUUAGAGUGUUUAAGGCAGGCAAUCGCCCGCAUAUAUUAGCAUGGAAUAAUAGAAUAGGACACUUUUCCAUUUCGUUGGUUAUUGGAAUCGUGUAAUGAUUAAUAGGGACAGUUGUGGGCAUUUGUAUUUAAUUGUCAGAGGUGAAAUUCUUGGAUUUAUUAAAGACAAACUAACGCGAAAGCAUUUGCCAAGGAUGUUUUCAUUAAUCAAGAACGAAAGUUAGGGGAUCAAAGACGAUCAGAUACCGUC
rnacentral:rRNA from 1 species